rnacentral:rRNA from 1 species
AGAGUUUGAUCUGGCUCAGGACGAACGCUGGCGGUGGCUAACACAUGCAAGUGCAACGGUGAACCGCUUUCGGGCGGGGAUCAGUGGCGAACGGGUGAGUAACACGUGGGUAACCUGCCCUCCACUCUGGGAUAACUCCGGGAAACCGGGGCUAAUACCGGAUACGACCUCAGGCAGCAUCGCCUCGGGUGGAAAGUUUUUCGGUGGAGGAUGGACCCGCGGCCUAUCAGCUUGUUGGUGGGGUAAUGGCCUACCAAGGCUUUGACGGGUAGCCGGCCUGAGAGGGCGACCGGCCACACUGGGACUGAGACACGGCCCAGACUCCUACGGGAGGCAGCAGUGGGGAAUAUUGCACAAUGGGCGAAAGCCUGAUGCAGCGACGCCGCGUGAGGGAUGACGGCCUUCGGGUUGUAAACCUCUUUCAGCAGGGACGAAC